rnacentral:lncRNA from 1 species
GGGCUCCUCUGCGGGGGGAGAUGAUAGUUGCGCUUUUGUUUGUUUGGAAGUGCUGGCAGGAAAGCGGGGAGGAGAGAAUUACCUAAGUGAUGGAGCGAUUGCAAGGAGCGGGGCAAAGCUGCGGCGCCGGGGCGGACGCGCUCCACCUCCGCACGCCCCGCGGAGCAGCCCCCCGCCGCGGCACGCAGGGCUGGAGCUGCACCCGCUGCCCGAGCGCGGCGGAGCCCCGGGAGCCGCCUGCGACGCCGAGGCUGCAGCGAGCUGCAACGGGCUGCAACGCGCCUGCCGCGAGCCCGGGGAUGAUGGGGGGGAGGCGGCUGCUCUGGGUCGCCCUCUGCGCUGUGACCCUGUGCGGCCCAGCCGCCGGCAGCCCCACGGAUGAGCCCACCACCGCCCUGACGCCUCGGACGGGGACGAGCGGCAGCAGCGCGGCCACCAGCCCAUCGAGCACCGCCGAGCCGGCSCGGGAGACCACCGGUAACCGCGGGCCCUGCUCCCCGCGCUGCUUUUGGGGGGCUGAAGCUUUUCAUGGACCUUUUUCACGUGUGUUUUCAACCCCCAGCUGCAGCGGGACCCCCCACGCCGGCCCCCACCUCCACGGCACACAGCACGGGCCAGCCGAGCCCCCGGCCCGGCCAGACCUCCCCCCGGGCCCCCAGCACCCGGCCGGACGCGAGCAGCGGGCCCCCCGUGGCGACGCACAGCCCCACGGCGCAGCCCGGCACCACGGCAGCACCCGCGACGUCGGGGUCGGCGCUGCCAAGCUCUCCCACCACGCCGGGGCACACGGCCACCUCCGCUCCCACGGCGCCCGGCGGCAGAGCUCGCAACGCCUCCAAGGUGAGGGGGGGUCCACGGUACCCGCUGCACUACCCCACUGCGAUACCCCGCAGCAAUACCCCACU